rnacentral:rRNA from 3 species
GGGUUGUGAGGUUAAGCGACUAAGCGUACACGGUGGAUGCCCUGGCAGUCAGAGGCGAUGAAGGACGUGCUAAUCUGCGAUAAGCGCCGGUAAGGUGAUAUGAACCGUUAUAACCGGCGAUUUCCGAAUGGGGAAACCCAGUGUGAUUCGUCACACUAUCAUUAACUGAAUCCAUAGGUUAAUGAGGCGAACCGGGGGAACUGAAACAUCUAAGUACCCCGAGGAAAAGAAAUCAACCGAGAUUCCCCCAGUAGCGGCGAGCGAACGGGGAGGAGCCCAGAGCCUGAAUCAGCAUGUGUGUUAGUGGAAGCGUCUGGAAAGGUGCGCGAUACAGGGUGACAGCCCCGUACACAAAAGCGCAUGUGCUGUGAGCUCGAUGAGUAGGGCGGGACACGUGGUAUCCUGUCUGAAUAUGGGGGGACCAUCCUCCAAGGCUAAAUACUCCUGACUGACCGAUAGUGAACCAGUACCGUGAGGGAAAGGCGAAAAGAACCCCGGCGAGGGGAGUGAAAAAGAACCUGAAACCGUGUACGUACAAGCAGUGGGAGCACCCUUCGGGGUGUGACUGCGUACCUUUUGUAUAAUGGGUCAGCGACUUAUAUUCUGUAGCAAGGUUAACCGUAUAGGGGAGCCGGAGGGAAACCGAGUCUUAAC